rnacentral:rRNA from 1 species
AUUGAACGCUGGCGGCAUGCCUUACACAUGCAAGUCGAACGGCAGCACGGGAGCAAUCCUGGUGGCGAGUGGCGAACGGGUGAGUAAUAUAUCGGAACGUGCCCAGUCGUGGGGGAUAACGUAGCGAAAGCUACGCUAAUACCGCAUACGAUCUAUGGAUGAAAGCGGGGGAUCGCAAGACCUCGCGCGAUUGGAGCGGCCGAUAUCAGAUUAGGUAGUUGGUGAGGUAAAGGCUCACCAAGCCGACGAUCUGUAGCUGGUCUGAGAGGACGACCAGCCACACUGGGACUGAGACACGGCACAGACUCCUACGGGAGGCAGCAGUGGGGAAUUUUGGACAAUGGGCGCAAGCCUGAUCCAGCAAUGCCGCGUGCAGGAUGAAGGCCUUCGGGUUGUAAACUGCUUUUGUACGGAACGAAACGGUGAGCUCUAAUACAGUUUGCUAAUGACGGUACCGUAAGAAUAAGCACCGGCUAACUACGUGCCAGCAGCCGCCGCCGUAA